CAAUAGUUUCCAAUUGUUAUUUUUUCUAUUGUUUCUCCAAAAUGGAAGAAUCUCUGGAAGUUUUAAUUGUUCUUGUCUUCUUUUCGAGACUUUUUGGCAGAAUUGUGAUUCAGUACGUCACUCGAAAAGAACUUUAAUUCCGGAAUCUAUAAGCGAUAUUUCAUGUUUGAAUAAAAAUAGAAAAUACAUAAAGUAACUGACGUAAUGCAUCCUUUGUAACUACAAAGAAGGUAUUUCGUAAUAUACGAUCGAUACAGGAACCGGAAUUGUGUCAAAUAUGUGUAAUAUAGUCAAUGUAGUUAGGUCUACUUCCCACUAUUGAAGUCAAAUAAAACAGUAAAAGGAAUAUUAUCAUCAGCAUUUACUUGAUUUGGAAUUUUAUCAGAAUCAAUAGUUACAUUUAAAUUGCAGAAAAGUGUGGUAGGUAAAAGAAAUACGUUUGUUAAGCACAUUUCUUUUAAGAAGAAUUCUGAUAAGUAGCCCAAUUUCUACACUUAUUUUCGUUUAAUAUAGAUAAUAAUUAUCAGAUAAUAAUCAGGAUCUUCUGCGAAUUUGAAUUAUUAUAGAAGCUUAUAUUUUAAUAAUAUUUUAUGUUAUAACUUUACAAAUCUUAAAAUUAUACUUGAUAUACUAUUUAGUAACACACCUCAAAUGAUUUUCCUGAAAUUACUUUUCAGAAUGGUAUUAUAUGAUAUAUAAUAUCGGUGGAGCAGUUAAUGUAAUUUCAACGCACAUUCCAGAUCUAUAAUUGUUUGCAGAGAUAAAAAUAUAAAAAAUUAAUGCCCAAAAUCUCUAACAUAUAUUCUUUAUAUUAAGGCGAAGAUGAAGCAAUACAGAUUACCUUUCUCAAUUAAACACAUGUUAUAAAUUUCUUAAAACAUUUCUCUUGUGUCAAAUAAGCAGCAUUGCAUUUGACAUUAAAAGAUAGAAAAGAAGACUUUUAUAAUGAUGUAUCCAGUUUCCGGACCGAAGAAUAAACUUUUUAUGAAUAAGAUGCCAAUUUCUGAAGAGGACGUUGGAAGAAACGUAGAGUAAUGCUUGAUGAAGACUCGUAUAAUGUAAAAGGUUUUAGUGUUGAUGACGGAAUUUCCAGAUAACUAUGUUAAAAAGUUCUUCAUUGUUUCCUUUUGUCAACAUAUAGUUAUGGUAUUUUUAAUGUAAAUACUGUACUUAAACUGUUGCUUAGCAAGCAGUUAGACAACAAAUAAUUCUUUGUUUCAUUAGCUACUUUCUAAAGCAUAGUAGAGCAUCAAUUGGGUUAUACGGUAGUUCAAAUUUAAUUGUUUAAAAUGGACGAUACUUGGCGCGUAGAAUGCCACUAUCAGCUAUAAUCGAUCAAUCGUAAAAAUGAGUAUCAAAAAAAUUAUGAAAGAUUAGUAACAGUUUAUGGUGCUGAAACUACAGACAAAGCCAAUGGUUCUGCAAUAUAACUAUGAUAGAUCCCAGAUCCCUGCUAUCAUGUCAGAAGCCAUACAGAAACUCGGUGUUUGAAGUUCUUGACACAGAUUUGGCGCUCUCAGAUUCUUGGUUAAUAUCUACUUUCAUGAGACAUAUCAAAGGAAUUCAUUUCACGUGUGACAAUGUCCAAACCACCUUGAGGAAAUGGUUCCGAGAGACUAAAGAUUUCUACAGAGACGAGUUCGAGAACUGAUUAAGCAUUGACAUAUCUGUAUCGAACAUGAAGGAUGCUGUGUAGGAAAAUGAAGUGUGUUAAGACAUGCUAAACUUAGUUCUUGUUUAGAUUUCAGUUUGACAUCUGAGCUUCUAUAUAAAUAUGGAAGCAUUACUUAUUGAACAUCCCUGUAUAUGAUUAAAUAUCAUAUUUUAAAAUUAUAUGUUUCAAUGUGACUUAUGUAAACAAUUCAUAUUAUUUUAUUCGUUGCUAUUGCUUAUAUUUUGAGAUGAUUAAUUAAUGGCAAUAUAUGUAGUUAAGAAUUUUCAGUCGUUGUGAAGAAUAUUUAUAUCAAUUAGGCGUUAAUUUUUAUGAUUUUUAACAUUAAAUUAUUUUUGUAUCGGCAAAACUAUGUUAAGAAUCCUUUUUCCCUAAUAAGAACAUUUGAUUGCAAUGGUAUAAUAAUCUUAUUUUACGUGAAUAAUUUAAGUUAACCGAAUAAAUGAAAUA
rnacentral:lncRNA from 1 species